rnacentral:lncRNA from 1 species
UGUCAAAAUCAGUAUGAAAGACUGCAGCAUGCUGAGUGAGCUUUCCGUUCUCGCUGAGAUGCAAUGCAGGGUCCACCCUCUGCAGGCCACAAUUUUGCCUGGAGGCAAAGCAUUCAGUCUUUCCAUUGGCCUGACAAUUUGAGCCAAGCUUUGAGGCCAACAGACAAAAUGCACUAGCAACUGGAGAGGGGCCUGCCUGGUGGCCCUCCCUGUGAGAAGGUAUUCUUCCUGCUCCAUUGACAUCAGGCUUAUU